UACGUAGGGGGCUAGCGUUGUCCGGAAUCAUUGGGCGUAAAGCGCGUGUAGGCGGCCCGAUAAGUCCGCUGUGAAAGUCCAGGGCUCAACCCUGGAAUGCCGGUGGAAACUGUCGGGCUGGAGUCCGGAAGAGGCGAGUGGAAUUCCUGGUGUAGCGGUGAAAUGCGCAGAUAUCAGGAGGAACACCAAUGGCGAAGGCAGCUCGCUGGGACGGUACUGACGCUGAGACGCGAAAGCGUGGGGAGCAAACAGG
rnacentral:rRNA from 1 species